rnacentral:rRNA from 1 species
GAUGAACGCUGGCGGCGUGCCUAAUACAUGCAAGUCGAGCGAACAGACGAGGAGCUUGCUCCUCUGACGUUAGCGGCGGACGGGUGAGUAACACGUGGAUAACCUACCUAUAAGACUGGGAUAACUUCGGGAAACCGGAGCUAAUACCGGAUAAUAUAUUGAACCGCAUGGUUCAAUAGUGAAAGACGGUUUUGCUGUCACUUAUAGAUGGAUCCGCGCCGCAUUAGCUAGUUGGUAAGGUAACGGCUUACCAAGGCGACGAUGCGUAGCCGACCUGAGAGGGUGAUCGGCCACACUGGAACUGAGACACGGUCCAGACUCCUACGGGAGGCAGCAGUAGGGAAUCUUCCGCAAUGGGCGAAAGCUUGACGGAGCAACGCCGCGUGAGUGAUGAAGGUCUUCGGAUCGUAAAACUCUGUUAUUAGGGAAGAACAAAUGUGUAAGUAACCAUGCACGUCUUGACGGUACCUAAUCAGAAAGCCACGGCUAACUACGUG